rnacentral:rRNA from 1 species
UGGGGAAUUUUGGACAAUGGGGGCAACCCUGAUCCAGCAAUGCCGCGUGUGUGAAGAAGGCCUUCGGGUUGUAAAGCACUUUUGUCCGGGAAGAAAUCGCACCUGAUAAUACCGGGUGUGGAUGACGGUACCGGAAGAAUAAGGACCGGCUAACUACGUGCCAGCAGCCGCGGUAAUACGUAGGGUCCAAGCGUUAAUCGGAAUUACUGGGCGUAAAGCGUGCGCAGGCGGUUGUGCAAGACCGAUGUGAAAUCCCCGGGCUUAACCUGGGAAUUGCAUUGGUGACUGCACGGCUAGAGUGUGUCAGAGGGGGGUAGAAUUCCACGUGUAGCAGUGAAAUGCGUAGAGAUGUGGAGGAAUCCCGAUGGCGAAGGCAGCCCCCUGGGAUAACACUGACGCUCAUGCACGAAAGCGUGGGGAGCAAACAGG